rnacentral:rRNA from 1 species
UACAGAGGUCUCAAGCGUUGUUCGGAAUUACUGGGCGUAAAGCGCACGUAGGCGGCUUUCUAAGUCGGGGGUGAAAUCCUGGAGCUCAACUCCAGAACUGCCUUCGAUACUGGAGAGCUUGAGUCCGGGAGAGGUGAGUGGAACUGCGAGUGUAGAGGUGAAAUUCGUAGAUAUUCGCAAGAACACCAGUGGCGAAGGCGGCUCACUGGCCCGGUACUGACGCUGAGGUGCGAAAGCGUGGGGAGCAAACAGG